CAGCCGUUGGGUUGUUUCCGUCUUCUCCUUCUCGCUCGAGCACAUGAGUGGUUUCCCCCGACUGCUGCCUUUGACAUAGCGACAGGCCACGCAACCCCCAGACCCCAUACCGCCACCGCCAGACUCAGGCUGGGACGCCGUUCGGCCGCGCGGGAAAGGAAGUCGGCCAUGGCCAUCUGUGCACCCGGUGGUGGAGCCACUGGAGGGGUUCGUGGUCCGAGCAGAGGCUGAAUGAGCACCCCAGAAGGUAGUAUCGGAGGGUCCCAACCGCCCACCCGAUGGCGAGGCACUCCCUCUCCACUGCGCUAUACCUGAUCUCCCUUUCGGAAAGCUUCCGGUUGAUGGAAAGGAUGGGUUGGUCAACACCCUCCACCUGCCGGGACAAAACCACUCCCAGUCCUCUGCGCGUUGGCAUUUUUCAUGCGGUGGAGCCACUGGAGGGGUUCGUGGUCCGAGCAGAGGCUGAAUGAGCACCCCAGGAGGUAGUAUCAGAGGGCCCCAACCGCCCACCCGAUGGCGAGGCAAUCCCUCUCCACUGCGCUAUACCUGACCUCCCUUUCGGAAAGCUUCCGGCUGAUGGAAAGGAUGGGUUGGUCGACGCCCUCCACCUGCUGGGACAAAACCGCUCCCAGUCCUCUGCGCGUUGGCAUCUUUCUUGCGGUGGAGCCACUGGAGGGGUUCGUGGUCCAAGCAGAGGCUGAAUGAGCGCCCCAGGAGGUAGUAUCAGAGGGCCCCGACCGCCCACCCGAUGGCGAAGCACUCCCUCUCCACCGCGCUAUACCUGACCUCCCUUUCGGAAAACUUACGGCUGAUGUAAAGGAUGGGUCGGUCAACGCCCUCCACCUGCUGGGACAAAACUGGUCCCAGUUCUCUGCCCGACGCGUCCGCCUGCGGAGAAAAAUCAGGCAUGUGCAGGACCGGCUCCUAGCAGAGGGCCUUCUUCACCCUCUCAAACGCCUGCUGGCACUGCUCUGCGUCUGCCUUGACCAGAUCUGGAGCACCCUUUCGGGUGAGGUCAGUUAUUGGGCUGGUCAGGUCCGCAAACCAUGGGAUAAACCUCCGGUAGUAACCUGCCAGACCCGAAAACUGCCUCACCUCUUUUUUCGUCUUUGGGGUUGGGCAGGCCGCAAUUGCCGAUGUUUUGUCUACCUGCGGUCGCACCUGCCCUCCUCCCAUGUGCUCCCCCAAAUACUGUACUUCCCUCCAGCCAACUGCACACUUCCCCGGGUUUGGCGAUGAGCCCUGCCUUUAACAGAGCGACGUGUGAUUAGAUAAACACUCCCAGGUGGGUCAUCCAAGCACCUGUCGCUGAUCUCGAAGCCGGUCCUGGCACACCCCGCUUCGCUGCUGGUCCGCAGGCCACACCCCUACCUCCCACACACCUAUAACAGUACGGAUGGUUCUUUUCCUCUUUGGUCCACAGUUUCCAAAAACAAUUUGAAAUGUAAACUCGUCAGACCACGGAACACUUUUUCCACUUUGCAUCAGUCCAUCUUCGAUGAGCUCGCCGGGCCUAGCGAAGCCAGCGGCGUUUCUGGGUGUUGUUGAUAAAUGGCUGUUGGCUUUGCAUAGUAGAGUUUUAACUUGCACUUGCAGAUGUAGCGACCAUCUGUAGUUACGGGUUUUAAUCCGGUCCGCCAGACCUUCUACAUCAGGGGUCACCAACGCGGUACCCGCGAGCACCAGGUAGCCCGUAAGGACCAGAUCAGACGCCCGCUGGCAUAUGUUGUUCCAAAACCUGUAUGUACCUUUCAGCAUUAAUGGUGCCUUCACCCAGAUGUGUAAGUUACCCAUGCCUUGGGCACUAAUGCACCCCCAUACCAUUACACAUGCUGGCUUUUGAACUUUGCGUCGAUAACAGUCUGGAUGGUUCGCUUCCCACAAUGUCAAAUAUUUCCAAAAACGAUUUGAAAUGUGGACUCGUCAGACCACGGAACACUUUUUCCACUUUGCAUCAGUCCAUCUUAGAUGAGCUCGGGCACAGCAAAGCCAGCGGCGUUUCUGGGUGUUGUUGAUAAAUGGCUGUUGGCUUUGUAAAGUAGAGUUUUAUCUUGCACUUGCAGAUGUAGCGACCAUCUGUAGUUACGGACAGUGGUUUUCUGAAGUGUACCUGACCCCACGUGCUGAUAUCCUUUACACACUGAUGUCGAUGGUUCUUUUCCUCUUUGGUCCACAGUUUCCAAAAACAAUUUGAAAUGUAAACUCGUCAGACCACGGAACCCUUUUUCCACUUUGCAUCAGUCCAUCUUCGAUGAGCUCGUCGAGCCUAGCGAAGCCAGCGACGUUUCUGGGUGUUGUUGAUAAAUGGCUGUUGGCUUUGCAUAGUAGAGUUUUAACUUGCACUUGCAGAUGUAGCGACCAUCUGUAGUUACGGACAGUGGUUUUCUGAAGUGUACUUGAGCCCAUGUGCUGAUAUCCUUUACACACUGAUGUCGCUUUUUGAUGCAGUAUCGUUGUUGGUGCAGUGAUUUCUCCAGAUUCUCUGAACAUUUUGAUGAUUUUACGGAGCGUAGACGGUGAAAUCCCUAAAUUCCUUGCAAUAUCUGGUUUACAAAUGUUGUCCUUAAACAAUUUGCCCAAGCGUUUGUCUACAAAAUGGUGACCCUCGCCCCGUCCUUGUUUGUGAAUGACCGAGCAUUUCACAUGGAAGCUGCUUUUUAUACCCAAUCAUGGCACCCACCUGUUCCCUAAUUAGCCUCUUCACCCGUGGGAUGUUCCACUUAAGUGUUUGACGAUCAUUCCUCAACUUUCUCAGUCUUUUUUGUCACCUGUGCCAGCUUUUUCGAAGCAUGCUGCAGGCAUCCAAUUACAAAUAUUUGCAAGAAAUAACAAAGUGUGAACGUGAAAUAUCUUGCCUUUGCAGUCCAUUCAAGUGAAUAUAAGUUGAAAAGGGUUUAAAAAUCAUUCUAUUUUCUUUUUAUUUACUAUUUACACAACGUGACAA